UCUGAUAAUGGUAAAACUAUCC
rnacentral:snRNA from 1 species